rnacentral:rRNA from 1 species
CACGUAGGAGGCGAGCGUUGUCCGGAAUCAUUGGGCGUAAAGAGCGCGCAGGCGGCUUGGCAAGUCGGGUGUGAAAUCCCGGGGCUCAACCCCGGGACUGCAUUCGAUACUGUCAGGCUAGAGGUAGGUAGGGGAGAUCGGAAUUCCUGGUGUAGCGGUGAAAUGCGCAGAUAUCAGGAGGAACACCGGUGGCGAAGGCGGAUCUCUGGGCCUUACCUGACGCUCAGGUGCGAAAGCUAGGGGAGCGAACAGG